CCUCGGAUCCCAUCAGCCUUCUGAGACUGGAGAGCAGGAGCGGGGGCAGGUGGCAGCAGGCCCCAGGAGGAGGGAGCUGCCCCGCUUCAUCCAUCACACGAUGGAGAAACAGGCUUCGGAUGAUGGUGAAUCCUGUCUAUAUUUGGAAAGAAUGAAGUGAUGUGUUUAGUUCCCCAUGAGCUGGGCCAGACUCCUGCACCUGAGUGUCCUGCUCCUAGCCCCUACGCCCUCACCACAUCCUGACCAUGCUGGAGGGGCUGCGAAUCCUCUGACAUCCUUUCUCCACCCACCGAGAGAAGGGUAGAUGCAACAGUCAAUGUUUCAUCUCCUACCUAGACCUGAACACACUGAGGGUCUAAAAUGUGCUUUGCAGGUAGCGGGCACUCAGCACCCCUGUGGAACUGGAGUGCUCCAUGUCACAGGCGCCGUAUGCCGGAGCAGGCCCACGGCAGCAGCCCAGCCCUCCUCAUCCUGCCUGGAGGACCCUCCGCUGCCACACCUCACCCCUCCUCCCUCUGACAACGCAGCUGCCUGGCCUAAGCUGGCUAAGCAAGGAGAAGCAGCAGGAAACUCACUCAAUGUGGUUGACAUUAGGAGCUGACGAAGAAAGAGAAGCCAGAGUGCGGGGACCGGGGAAGUUCCUUCCCCUCCGAUGUCUUAGUUCUGUGUACAGUGAUACACUCAGACUGUGGAAACUGACAUACAGAUCCUUCUAAUCAGAGAAAGAGGAAAGACAGUGACAGGAAGAAGAAGAACAGAACAGAAAAAUGAAUGGAAUUAUGAAAUUGGAUCCCUGGAAUUGCAAGCGGAGACAGAGAAGAGAGGUACAAAAAAGGCAAGAGAAAUGGUAAGGGAAUAACACUAGGGAAAUCUACUUUAAGUCAACAGUGUUAUUCUCAGAAAUGCUGAAAAUAAUUAUAGAUUUUAUUAGUAUAGAGAUUUAACUCUCAAAGCAAUUCUAUGAAAUAAGUAAGAAAGUUAUUACUGCAUUUCAUUGAAUGGAAGAUGUCAGUCAUUGAAAAUGUACAUUAUUCUUUUGAGUCAUAAAGAAAGGAAAAAUGUUUCUGAUUAAACUGUGCCACUGUUCUGCUUACCCACUGCUGCAAAACUACUCCAAAAUGUAUGGGGGCUUACUAUAACCACCAUUUGAUAUCUCACAAUUUGGUGAGUUGACCAGACUCAGCUAGGUGGUUAUGGUCAGAUGUCAGUUGAGGCUGUGGGCUCCUGAAGGAUUGAUGGGCAAGACAUCUAAGAUGGCCU